rnacentral:rRNA from 1 species
UACGUAGGUGGCAAGCGUUGUCCGGAUUUACUGGGCGUAAAGAGCGCGCAGGCGGUUGUUUAAGUCGAAUGUGAAAGCCCCCGGCUCAACUGGGGAGGGUCAUUCGAUACUGAUCGACUUGAAGGCAGGAGAGGGAAGUGGAAUUCCGGGUGUAGUGGUGAAAUGCGUAGAUAUCAGGAAGAACACCCGUGGCUAAGGCGGCUCUCUAGUACGGUACUGACGCUGAGACGCGAAAGCGUGGGGAGCGAACAGG